GGGAAAGCUCCUUAAAAGCACUUCUAAAAAUGGAGAGUGCACUUAAGUCUGCGAAAGAUAAUCUUAGUUGGCAGCCCAUUGAAAGAAAAGAGCAGACUUGUAGUCGAAGACUGACUGGCUGGAGAAAAGAGUGCAUUCUUCAAAUUCUUAGUUCCUGCCUGUACAAAAUAUGACCCUGCCUUCUUCUUUUUGGGAGAUUCAUCAUAAAGGACUUUGUAUCUUAUUCUCUGCAUGACUGCC